UACAGAGGUCUCAAGCGUUGUUCGGAUUCAUUGGGCGUAAAGGGUGCGUAGGCGGCGCGGUAAGUCGGGGUUUGAAAUCUUGGAGCUUAACUCCAGAACUGCCUUCGAUACUGGCGAUCUUGGAGUCCGGGAGAGGUGAGUGGAACUCCGAGUGUAGAGGUGAAAUUCGUAGAUAUUCGGAAGAACACCAGUGGCGAAGGCGGCUCACUGGCCCGGUACUGACGCUGAGGUGCGAAAGCGUGGGGAGCAAACAGG
rnacentral:rRNA from 1 species